GUUGCCACGGCAGAGGGGCCCUGCAGCCAGUGCCCCAGGCCCUGGGGAGGGCAGGAGUUCCUGGGGGCCGGGCCAGCCAGGCUCCUGCACCUGCAGGCCUGCGGGCCAGCCGAGCGCCCUGGACCAGCCUCUUUGCUGGGCCCUCCCUUGGCAGCAGGUUAACGAGACCGCUGGGCCAGCUUGUCUCCUCCACCUGAUGCACACAAGGGAAGACUGGCUUCCCGGCUUCCAGGGGCAAAGGCAGUCUUCCGGAGCUGGGGCUCACCCAGACAGCCC
rnacentral:lncRNA from 1 species